rnacentral:rRNA from 1 species
UACGUAGGGCGCAAGCGUUGUCCGGAAUUAUUGGGCGUAAAGAGCUCGUAGGCGGCCUGUUGCGUCCGCUGUGAAAUCCCGGGGCUCAACCCCGGGCGUGCAGUGGAUACGGGCUGGCUGGAGGCAGGCAGGGGAGAACGGAAUUCCUGGUGUAGCGGUGAAAUGCGCAGAUAUCAAGAGGAACACCGGUGGCGAAGGCGGUUCUCUGGGCCUGUACUGACGCUGAGGAGCGAAAGCGUGGGGAGCGAACAGG